rnacentral:rRNA from 1 species
GGAGCAAGCGUUGUUCGGAUUUACUGGGCGUAAAGGGCGCGUAGGCGGUCAGCACAAGUCAGUUGUGAAAUCUCCGGGCUUAACUCGGAAAGGUCAACUGAUACUGUGCGACUAGAGUGCGGAAGGGGCAACUGGAAUUCUUGGUGUAGCGGUGAAAUGCGUAGAUAUCUGGAGGAACACCGGUGGCGAAGGCGGCGUUCUGGACUGCAACUGACACUGAGAAACGAAAGCCAGGGUAGCAAACGGG